AUUGAACGCUGGCGGCAGGCCUAACACAUGCAAGUCGAACGGUAACAGGAAGCAGCUUGCUGCUUCGCUGACGAGUGGCGGACGGGUGAGUAAUGUCUGGGAAACUGCCUGAUGGAGGGGGAUAACUACUGGAAACGGUAGCUAAUACCGCAUAACGUCGCAAGACCAAAGAGGGGGACCUUCGGGCCUCUUGCCAUCGGAUGUGCCCAGAUGGGAUUAGCUAGUAGGUGGGGUAACGGCUCACCUAGGCGACGAUCCCUAGCUGGUCUGCGAGGAUGACCAGCCACACUGGAACUGAGACACGGUCCAGACUCCUACGGGAGGCAGCAGUGGGGAAUAUUGCACAAUGGGCGCAAGCCUGAUGCAGCCAUGCCGCGUGUAUGAAGAAGGCCUUCGGGUUGUAAAGUACUUUCAGCGGGGAGGAAGGGAGUAAAGUUAAUACCUUUGCUCAUUGACGUUACCCGCAGAAGAAGCACCGGCUAACUCCGUG
rnacentral:rRNA from 1 species